UGGUAAUGCCGGAUGCUCCAGUUGAUCGCAUGGUCUUCUGGGAAAGCCUUUGCGGCAUGGGAUGGGGUCGCGUCCUAUCAGCUUGAUGGCGGGGUAACGGCCCACCAUGGCUUCGACGGGUAGCCGGCCUGAGAGGGCGACCGGCCACAUUGGGACUGAGAUACGGCCCAGACUCCUACGGGAGGCAGCAGUGGGGAAUAUUGCACAAUGGGCGCAAGCCUGAUGCAGCGACGCCGCGUGAGGGAUGGAGGCCUUCGGGUUGUAAACCUCUUUUGUUAGGGAGCAAGGCAUUUUGUGUUGAGUGUACCUUUCGAAUAAGCACCGGCUAACUACGUGCCAGCAGCCGCGGUAAUACGUAGGGUGCAAGCGUUAUCCGGAAUUAUUGGGCGUAAAGGGCUCGUAGGCGGUUCGUCGCGUCCGGUGUGAAAGUCCAUCGCUUAACGGUGGAUCCGCGCCGGGUACGGGCGGGCUUGAGUGCGGUAGGGGAGACUGGAAUUCCCGGUGUAACGGUGGAAUGUGUAGAUAUCGG
rnacentral:rRNA from 1 species